rnacentral:lncRNA from 1 species
UCACAUCAAGACAAAGAGGAUUACAUAAAAAAAAAGAUUACAUCAAAACAAAUCGAAUAAUCAUAGUGUGGAAGAACUUCUGGUAUUCAUUCUCAAGCUUUCCAUGAAACAUAUUAUUAUAAGAAAUUUAUAUGGAAGAAUUUACCACACCAAUGUUUUUACAGACCAAUGUUUUACAAAACAAGUUUCAAUAAAAAAAAAAGAAAAAGUUACUCGGCCUGAAACCGUUUUGUAUUUAAAAUAAAUAAUUGGACAUUUUGAAUUAAUUUUACAUUAUCUUCAUGUCCAAGAUUUUCCGACCCAUGCAAAAGUAUUUCAAUUUUCCGAUUCUCUGAUAAAUUCAUCCACAUAGGAUGGAGCAGCCGCGCAGGAAGUGAGAGCAAUUGUUCACGUUGGGCAGCAAAUCGAGAACAAUAUAAAAAGUAAUGUUUGACAGUUUCCAUUUCACCCCAUCGACAUACACAAAAGGGGGAAUUUGCACAAUUAAUUCUAUAUAGGUGAAAAUUAAGCGCACAGUGACCAAGCCUGAGCCUGGUAUGGAGUAUUGAGCUAUAUCUACUUAGUGAUGCAUUGUAUUUUACGUUAUAUUUUUGUCCACAAUACAUAUUACAUAAGGUAACUUUAAAGGAAGAUAGCGUCUCUAUAUUUCGUAAAUCUGGAUCAAGAUCAUUCCAGGCAGUUAUUGCCGAUGGAAAGAAAGAUUUUUUAAAUCGUUCAGUUCUCACAGGUAUAUUAGUUAAAUUAUCGUUAGAUCUUAGAAAGUAACUGGAUCUUUGGUUUACAUAUGGAGGCAAAAGAUCACAAAGGUAGGAUGGUGCAGUGUGGGUAACAAUUUUAUAAAAAAAGGAUAGCUUAUGAAUAUGUCUCCUGGUUUUCAAAUCCUCCCAACAUAGUUCUUCCAAUAGACGAUUUCUAUUUGUUCCCCUUAUUGCACCAGUAACAAUGCGAGCUGAUUCGUACUGAACUGCUUCUAAAAGAUUUGCUUCCUCUAUACUACAUCCAUCCCAUAUUACAUCUGCAUAUUCCAUUAAGGGUCUAAUCAGACUUUUAUAUAAGCAUAUCAGUGUUGACCUUUUAAGCUUAUAUUUAACCCUUUUUAAUGCGUUCAUUCUUUUACUAGCUUUUUGAUGUAUGCUUAGAAUAUGUUUUGACCAAGAGAAAUUUGACGUAAAUGUUAAACCUAAAUGUGAAUGAGAAUCAACUUCGCGUAAUGCAGUGCCAUUUAAGUAUAAGAUUGGCUGAGGAAGUCGGUUAUGUUUCGUUGAAAAUGUAAUGCUUUCGCACUUAGUAGGAUUCAAUCCCAUCAACCAUUCCAUACACCAUUGGUUAAUGCUAUUGAGAUCCUCGUUUAGUCUAGAAUCAAAGGAUGAUAAAUUAUCAACAAUUUCAAGUAAAGAUGUGUCAUCAGCGUAGAGAAAACAGUCAGAUACAAUAUUGUUGGAAAUAUCAUUUAUGUAUAUUAGAAAAAGCAAUGGCCCGAGCACUGAACCUUGUGGAACACCAGCUUCAACACUCAGCCAGCUCGAGCAUUGCCCCUCAAUGACAACUCUUUGUUUUCUAUCAGACAAAUAACUACAAAACCAGCUUAAAAGUGGGUCUUUUACUCCAAGAGAUUUUAAUUUGUACAAUAAACCCUUAUGCCAUACUUUAUCAAACGCUUUGCUAAAAUCUAAAAACACCAUACGGACUUCUUUACCCAUUUCUAGAGCUUCAUAGAUCUUAUGAACUAUAUACGUAAGUUGGUUCACAGUGCUGUCUCCUGGUCUAAAACCGGACUGAAAAUCAUUAAGGAAUCUAAUUUCUAAUAAAAAUUCAUAUAGUCUAGUGAAUACAAUUUUUUCUGGUAUUUUGGAUAUAGACGGUAAAAGUGAUAUGGGACGAUAGUUCUUUUUAUAUUGAUGAUCAUCUUUUUUAUAGACAGGAGUUACAUUUGCUUUUUUCCAUUCAGUUGGAUACUCUCCUAUUCGGAGACUUGUGUUAAUUAAAUAUGUAAAUGUUUUGGCAAUUCCACGGCUACAUAAUUUAAUAAUUCUAUUGCCAAUACCAUCAUGACCGCUAGCUUUUGUAAUAUCAACUUUAUAGAGGAGAUUAAUCACUUCUUCUUCUGUUGUUUGAACUAUAGACAACGUUUUAUCUGUGUGAUUAGAAUAAUAAUCUAGGACUGGUAGUUCAUGAUAUGUGUCAUCAACGUUCGCUUCACUUACAAAAUAUUCAUUAAAUAAAUCCGCUUUUUUUUGUGCAUCGCAAACAAUCUGAGAUCCCUCCCGUAUAACUGGAAUUGAUACACGGCAAUUAUUAUUAAAAACUGACUUAACAUAACUCCACCAUUUUUUUUGGCCCAAACGAAAAUCUGAUAAUUGGAUAUUUAGUUUGUCAUAAUAUUUUAUUUUUGUUUCUCGAAUCAGAGUUGUCGUGUAAUUCCUUUGAUCUUUAUAUUUCUUCCACAAUAAACGAGUUUUUUUCUUAGAAAAUUGCUUUAAAAUUCUAUUUCUUUUACGAAUUGCACUUCUUACAGCGCAUGUCAUCCAUGGUUUAUCGUUAGGACGUAUUACAACUAUUCUAUUUGGAAUAUGCUUUUUAACUGUUGAGUAAAAAUAGUCAAACCAAUUUUUAUAAACAUCGUCAAUCCGGUUAUUUUCUCUUUCACAAUUUUCCCAAUUAAGAUUUGAAAGUUCCUCAUUAAGCUGUGCUAUAUUGAUAUUGGAGAAAUCCCAAAUGUGUCGUUUAAAGGACUUUUGCUUAUAGUACGGAAUUUUCAUUUUUGUGUAGAUGUAGGAGUGAUCACAAUUCGAUGGUGGACUACAUGUACCCGAAUCAGAAAAAUAUCGUGGACAAUUAGUAAUAACAACAUCUAAUAUUGUAGAUGUAGUUUCUGUUACACGGGUCGGCUCUCUGAUUAUUUGAUACAAUGCAUUGCACUGGAGCCAAUGGUUAAAGUGAUUACCAAAACCAGUGCUUGAUAAAUUAUUACAAUCGUAGUGAGCGUUUAAGUCACCGAUUAUCAUUAUAAACGUGUGUGGGUUUUGACGUAUUUUAUCUAUAAUACUUUGUAAGGAAUCCAAAAAAAUUGAUACAUCUUGCAAAGAGUUAUUUGGCGCUCUAUAACAAACUCCGCAUAGUAAGGUUUGUUUAUGUACUUUUACUUCAACCCAAAGUAAUUCUAGAUUGUUAUUUUCUAAAUCAUUACGUCUCUUAAAUGCUAAUGACUGUGUAAUGUAUAAUGCAACACCACCACCCCGUGUAUUUAGUCUAUCUUUCCUUACAAUAGCAUGAAAACCGGGUAUGCACAGAUCAUCAUUCGAAAUUUGGCUGUUUAGCCAUGUUUCAGUGAUCGCAAACAAUUCAAAAUUUUUUUGCAAGAUAAAAGAAGAAAUUUCCUCAAAUUUUUCUUCAUUCACUAGACUUCUGGCAUUGAUAUGACCAAUGUUAAGACAUGUCAUCAUUGGACCAGGAUUUAGUUCAACAUCACCUGCCAUUAUUAACCGAACCAUUAAGUAGUUAGAAAUCAGAAUGUAAAUGUUGAGUCCAGAAGUAGUUAUCAAUACUAUUGAUAUGCUGAAUCUAGCACGGUUAAAUUUUCUGUUAUGAGAUGUUCCGAUUGCUGCUCUGUGAACCGUUAGACUAAUUGCCAUCACAUAG